AGCUCCGGCGAAAGAUAUCAGAUUUGGAGCUGCCUGAUGUGAAUAGUGUAUGCUACUAUUGAGGUGUUGACUAUAAGUAGAAGCUACUAGGCUUCUUCCUCCUCAAGCUGCAGCCAGCACCAAGCAUCACACGCACAUGGUGAAGGAGAGAGAAACCCUCUCUUUCUCUCUCUAAAUAUCUCUCUCAUCUCUCUAUAUUUCUCGCCCAAAUUCGCGGCGUUGGUGGAGAUCGAGCUUGCGAACGCGUUGGAGGCGACGGAUUGAGCUUUCGUGCGCCCGUUGGAGCGGCGUGUUUUCGUUGCGGCGUUCACGUUGGGGUAAGCUUUUGGGAUUUGGCUUAAUCCUUAGCAUUAAGUGUUCUAUUAGCCUCUAAUGAGCUUUGUUGGCAUGUUGAUCCAUUUAAUUUGGAUUAUUUGGAGGUUAAUUGUACGUUAGGGCUCCGAAUGGGGUUUUGUAAAAUAUAAGGGUUUGAUCUCAUUUGACCUUUCGUAAACCUAAUUGCUAGGUAACGAAACGCGUUGGCGAAGACGGUUCGGUAAUCCGACGAGCCGUUACAAAGUUAUUAAAGAAAUAGACGUUUAGGCUUCGGGUCCGCCGGGAGGGCCGAGGCGACGUCGUAAAAUCAUGGAAAUGGAUUUGAGGCAUCGUGGCACAUAACCGAAGACCUAUAAUUUUCGGGGCUGCGAAGCGGAGCACGGUUGAGGCGCAGUUGCAGUAUCGGGCCGUGCCGGGUGCCGAGUGCCGCGGGAGGCCGAUUGCAAGUGUCGACAAGCAAUCGGAACGCGAGUUAAGGUGGGUUGUGCUUACCGAAGCGACUAGGUCGCCCUUUAUGUCUUAGCAAUGUAAUCUCAUGUUGAUGCAUGUGCAUGUAGACAAGAGCAAGGAUGCAUGUUAAUAAAGAUGCAUAAAGUAGAUGCUAAGUAGAAAGCAUGAUAAAUGGUAAUGCUUAGAGCAAAUGCAUAUUAAUAACAAUGCAUAGUGGAGCAUAAUGAUUAUGGCAUUAGAUAAUGCUAGCUAAUGUAAAGUAAUGCAUGAUAAUGAUAAUGCAUAGAUGAAAAUGCUUAGUAGAAAUGCAUGGUGAGCAAGUUACACAAUGCUAAUAAUGCAUGAUAAUAAUGUAAUGCUAAGUAAUGCAUGAUAUGAAGUAAAUGCAUAUUAAUAAUAAUGCAUGAUGAGGAUGCUAAGUAAGGGAUGCAUGUUAGUAAUGAUGCAAAGAGUAAUUGCUAAGUAGAAAGCAUGAUGCAUGGUAUAUGUAUAUAAACCAGAUGAUAACUCUAGGAUGAGUAGAGAUGACUGGACAACUAAGUUGUCAGGUAGAUCGAGUGGCAUCUAACCUAGUGUUAAAGAACAUAGGUUGGUUAGUAAACCUAGAGUUGAACAAUCUAGGUGUGUGGCAUCUAACCUAGUGUUAGUAAACCUAGGUUGAACUAGUAAACCUAGAAGUGGAUAUCUAGGCAAAGAUGAUAAGAACCUAGCAAGUGUAUCUAGGUUAAGUGAUGUGGACAUAGAACCUAGAGUGUUGGAACCUAGGUUGAUGAGUAUAGUGGUAUAGCCACUAGAUUGAGCUAGGUCGACAGUAUAGGGUUGGCUAUGAACCCUCGACCUGUGGUAAGUGGAUUCCGGAAUCCCAGGACUUAUGAUGUCCCUGGUACAGGCUAGGGCGUUCGUGCGACGAUUUCGCCGCCGAGCUUGGUACCGUGGGUAGAUUGGGGGCGAUCACAUGGAGAUCACCGCCCGGGGCUUGAACCAUUGUGCUGGCGUUUGUGCGACGAUUUCGCCGCCAGAGUGGUUAAGCCAUUUGAGGAUCAGACCGCCAGAGUAGACUGAAUCCAUGCUGGGUAAGUACGAUGCGGGUGCCUCCAGGUGACUGAGUCUGACAUGAUCGUUGUUGGGUGUGGUGCGACCCGUUCGCCGCCAGACGGUAUGUCAUGUCUCGAGCUCACGCUGGGUAUGUGCAACGCGAUCGCCACCGAUGGUCAAGUCUUGUGACUCGAGCCGUAUUCAGCGUGUGCGACGAUUUCGCCGCUAGGAGGCUGAGUCAGAGAGAGUGCGGUAGGCUGUUGAGCAGCCAGUGCGCGGACUAUCCGCAGAUGAUUGACUCGAAGCCGAGUCGGGUGGUUAGCUAUGAUAGGGUAGAGGAACCCUUAUGAGCCAGAGAUAGAGGCUUGAGCUAAGGUAAUAGAAACCUUAGAAGCCAGUGGUUGGUGUUGUGAUCCUAAGGUAAUAGAAACCUUAGAGUAAAGUUAUGAGCUAAAGUAGCCAAGUAAAAGUAGAAUUCAUAUGAUCUACUAGUUGUUGCAUGGUUUUCAUAUCGCAUAUCGUGAGGCAUGGCAUGUAUUUCAAUUGAAUAUAUAUAUCUGUUGUAUAUUGUUGAACUAACAUGUUGCAGUGCCUCCUCGGACCUAUCGGUCGAGCUUUUCCCUUGGGUGGCCGUACCCACUGGGAACCAUGGAGUUGGUUCUCACCCCACGUUGUUUCGGGGUGUUUUCAGGUUGUACAUGUGCGGCGCGACGGCGCGAGGCGAGGGCGUAGCUCAGUAGAUAGCGCCCUGCCACAGAGACCGAGGUAGAAGUACCCUGAGGCAGUCUAGCUUAGGGGACUAGAAGACAAGGAAAAAUAAAAUGUAUUAAACUCGUAAACCCUAAUGUGAUGAG
rnacentral:lncRNA from 1 species